AGAGUGUGGUAUCCUCAAAGUACACUUAUCAGGCCAUGAUCAAUACGAAGUGCACCAAUGGGACAGUAAAGUUGACAAUGAAGCACCACAGUGUAUGGCAAAAUUCCAAGAAUUAUCUGCUGGAAAACCAUCAUACGAAGUUUAUUCAUCCAGCUGCAAGACAGCCACCAAAAAUAAUUGAUGUGAAAACUUUUCAGAAGAUGCGCCACUUGGCGGAAAAAUAAUUCAUCUCAAAAGUAUGUUUUGUGGAAUGUAGAAGUAAAAUGGAUCAUGUCUCAAAAUAAAAAAAA